CACGUAGGGGGCAAGCGUUGUCCGGAUUUAUUGGGCGUAAAGAGCUCGUAGGCGGUUCGUCGCGUCGGCUGUGAAAUCCCGAGGCUCAACCUCGGGUCUGCAGUCGAUACGGGCGGACUGGAGUUCGGCAGGGGAGACUGGAAUUCCUGGUGUAGCGGUGAAAUGCGCAGAUAUCAGGAGGAACACCGGUGGCGAAGGCGGGUCUCUGGGCCGAUACUGACGCUGAGGAGCGAAAGCGUGGGGAGCGAACAGG
rnacentral:rRNA from 1 species